rnacentral:misc_RNA from 1 species
CAACUCCAGAACUGGACGCUA